rnacentral:rRNA from 15 species
AUCUGGUGGAUCCUGCCAGUAGUUAUAUGCUCGUCUUCAAGAUUAAGCCAUGCAUGUCUAAGUGUAAACCUCUGGUGAACUGCGAAUGGCUCAUUAACUCAGUUAUGAUUUAUUUGGUGGUGUAGUACUACUCGGAUAACCGUAGUAACUCUGUGGCUAAUACGUGAGAUGCUUCCCCGACUUAUCAGGAGGGGUGUGUUUAUUGGUUAAAAAUGCCGGCCCACGCUCCUGGCGUGGAUGAGGUGUUGAAGCAUGAUAAUCGUCGAAUCGCACGGCUUAAAGCUCGCGAUGCUCCAUUCAAAUUUCUGUCUCAUCAACUUGAUGGUAGGGUAGUGGCCUACCAUGGUCGUGACGGGUAACGGGGAAUUGGCGUUCGAUUCCGGAGAGGGAGCCUGAGAGACGGCUACCACUCCCAAGGGAGGCAGCAGGCGCGCAACUUACCCAAUCCUAACGUAGGGAGGUAGUGACGAGGCAUACCAUGGCCCUAGAUCAUCUAUGAUCUCGGUGAUGGGAUGCACCCAAGGUAAACGGUUGGGUGAUGAUCGAUUGGAGGGCAAGACUGGUGCCAGCAGCCGCGGUAACACCAGCUCCAAUAGUGUAUACUCGUGUUGUUGCGGUUAAAACGUUCGUAGUCGAAUUAGAAACCAGUAGGCGUCUAACGCUUCAGGUUACUGCUCAGAGUGCAUCGCGCCGCCGGGCGGCAACGAGUGCUCUGCGCAAGUUACCAUGACCAAAUUUUAGUGUUCAUAGCAAGCACCUAGUGCCCUGAAUACAAUAGCAUGGGAUAACACUGAGAGGACUUCGACCUGGGUUACGCGGGUAAUCAGGAUCGAAGGAAUGAUUAACAGGAGCAGUCGGGGGUAGUCGCAUUCCAUCGCUAGAGGUGAAAUUCUUUGACCGAUGGAGGACGAACAACAGCGAAGGCAUCUACCAAGUAUGUUUCCAUUGAUCAAGAACGAAAGUUGAGGGAGCGAGGACGAUUAGGCACCGUCGUAGUCUCAACCGUAAACGAUACCGACUAGGGGUUGGUAGACGUUUUUUUCGAUAGCUCUAUCAGCACCUUAUGAGAAAUCACAAGUCUUUGGGUUCCGGGGGGAGU